rnacentral:rRNA from 1 species
UACGUAGGGUGCAAGCGUUAAUCGGAAUUACUGGGCGUAAAGCGUGCGUAGGCGGUUGUGCAAGACAGAUGUGAAAUCCCCGGGCUCAACCUGGGAAUUGCAUUUGUGACUGCACGGCUAGAGUGUGUCAGAGGGGGGUAGAAUUCCACGUGUAGCAGUGAAAUGCGUAGAUAUGUGGAGGAAUACCGAUGGCGAAGGCAGCCCCCUGGGAUAACACUGACGCUCAUGCACGAAAGCGUGGGGAGCAAACAGG